UGCUUUAUUCUUACUAAGUGUUCUUUUGUUAUGGGAUUUGUAGGUUUUCCUUCUAAACCUUCUCCUAUUUAUGGGGGUUUAGGGUUAAUUCUUAGUGGUGCUGUAGGUUGUGUUGUGUUGAAUUAUGGUGGGGCUUUUAUGGGAUUAAUAGUCUUUUUUAUUUAUUUGGGGGGGAUGAUGGUUGUUUUUGGAUAUACUGCGGUGAUGGCUAUUGAGGAAUACCCUGAGGCAUGAGGAUCAAGUAUUGAGGUUUUAGGAACUUUAGUACUGGGGCUACCAAUAGAGUUGUUGUUACUUUGAUGAAUGGUGAGUAUGAUGGGGUGGUCAUCAUAGUUAAUUUUAUUAGUGUGGGAAGUUGAAUAAUUUUUGAGGGUGAGGGGCCAGGGUUGAUCUGUGAGGAUUCUCCGGGUGCUGGUGGUUUAUAUAAUUAUGGGUGUUGAUUGGUGGUAGUUGCUGGUUGAACACUGUUUGUUUGUAUUUAUGUUGCAGUUGAAAUUACUUGGGGUAAU
rnacentral:lncRNA from 1 species